GACGAACCGUGCGAACGUUAUUCGGAAUCACUGGGCUUAAAGCGUGCGCAGGCGGUUUUGUAAGCCAGAUGUGAAAUCCCCGGGCUCAACCUGGGAAUGGCAUUUGGGACUGCAAGGCUUGAGUGCGGCAGAGGAGACUGGAAUUCCUGGUGUAGCAGUGAAAUGCGUAGAUAUCAGGAGGAACACCGAUGGCGAAGGCAGGUCUCUGGGCUGACACUGACGCUCAUGCACGAAAGCGUGGGGAGCAAACAGG
rnacentral:rRNA from 1 species